GUAGUCCACGCCGUAAACGAUGGAUACUUGAUGUUGAAGGUAUUGACCCCUUCAGUGUCGGAGCUAACGCGUUAAGUAUCCCGCCUGGGGAGUACGGUCGCAAGAUUAAAACUCAAAGAAAUUGACGGGGGCCCGCACAAGCGGUGGAGCAUGUGGUUUAAUUCGAUGCAACGCGAAAAACCUUACCUGGGUUUGGCAUGCCCGGACAACCCUAGAGAUAGGGCUUCCCCGAAAGGGGCCGGAGCACAGGUGCUGCAUGGCUGUCGUCAGCUCGUGUCGUGAGAUGUUGGGUUAAGUCCCGCAACGAGCGCAACCCUUGCUAUUAGUUGCCAGCAUUAAGUUGGGCACUCUAAUAGGACUGCCAUCGUUAAGAUGGA
rnacentral:rRNA from 1 species